CCAAGGAGUUCAGCACAUGUGCAGGUUGUUGGGUAUAGACACCCGAAGGCACAGUGAAAGCAAACGAUGCAACUCGGUUGUAUCACAGUGGCAAGAUCUCGGCUCUUUGAGCUGGGCGCACUGCCGGCCCGUUUUCUAGCUACGCGCUCGAAACGGAGUUAGAGCACAUACGCUGAGACCCGAAAGAUGGUGAACUAUGCCUGGGCAGGAUGAAGUCAGGGGAAACUCUGAUGGAAGUCCGUAGCGAUUCUGACGUGCAAAUCGAUCGUCUGACCUGGGUAUAGGGGCGAAAGACUAAUCGAACCAUCUAAUAGCUGGUUCCUUCCGAAGUUUCCCUCAGGAUAGCUGGUGCUAUUUGUUCAGUCUCUCCCGGUAAAGCGAAUGAUUAGAGGUCUUGGGGGCAAAACGCCCUCAACCUAUUCUCAAACUUUAAAUGGGUGAGAAGUCCAGCUUACUUAAGUGAAGUCUGGACUCUAGGAUGUUUGAGUACCAAGUGGGCCAUUUUUGGUAAGCAGAACUGGCGCUGUGGGAUGAACCGAACGCUGGGUUACGGUGUCCGAGUAUACGCUCAUCAGACCCCACAAAAGGUGUUGGUUGCUAUAGACAGCAGGACGGUGGCCAUGGAAGUCGGAA
rnacentral:rRNA from 1 species